rnacentral:lncRNA from 1 species
UGGCAUGUGUCGUAAUUUCUGCUUCUCGCUAUGUUUUGAUAUAGUUAUAAAGCCAGCAAAUACGAAUAUCUCAUAAAACUAGUAAAUGCACGGGGUAAUAAAUAAAUACGGACGUCAAAUCUGUUGUCUGUUCUCUCUCAUCAUUGGUAGCGUGAAUAACUAGUCAAUAGUAAAAAUGAUACUUUUAUUAAACAGCCGAUAUAUUUCCAUAAAAGUGCAAUAUUCCAACAAUAAUAUAUAAUAAACAUACGGGGCGAAGAUACUUAAAUAAUAUUCUUUCUCGUGUAUUUUCGAACGGGUCAACUGGAAUUAUCUUAAAUAUUUCAAUGACAAUAUAAAUAAAAUGCAAGGCAUACAGCUAUCUGCGCUGCUUCUUACCUCUAAAUUAUAACCCUUACUUGUAAUAUAAAAUGCGAGGCAUACAGCUAAUGCGCUGCUUCUUACCUCUAGGAACCCCCGGGAUGAGCCUUGCUGCAAGCCAAAUCUAAACACAGCAAAGACUGACGAACGUGACGUUGCACUGGUAUUUAUUUCAAAUUACCGGAAGUAAAUAUUCUAAUCAGGAAGAAAAACAUGACGUCAAAAGCUUACAUAAAUGUCUGUGUCAUUUUGGUCUUUUGUGGAUAGUUGUCUCAUUGGCAAUCAUACCACAUCUUCUUUUUUAUAUAUAAAAUAUAGGAG